UACGUAGGGCGCAAGCGUUAUCCGGAAUUAUUGGGCGUAAAGAGCUCGUAGGCGGUUUGUCGCGUCUGCCGUGAAAGUCCGGGGCUCAACUCCGGAUCUGCGGUGGGUACGGGCAGACUAGAGUGAUGUAGGGGAGACUGGAAUUCCUGGUGUAGCGGUGAAAUGCGCAGAUAUCAGGAGGAACACCGAUGGCGAAGGCAGGUCUCUGGGCAGUUAACUGACGCUGAGGAGCGAAAGCGUGGGGAGCAAACAGGAUUAGAACCUACGUAGUCAGACCAAGUCCAUCUGCACCUGAUC
rnacentral:rRNA from 1 species